UACGUAGGGGGCAAGCGUUGUCCGGAAUUAUUGGGCGUAAAGAGCUCGUAGGCGGUCUGUCGCGUCUGCUGUGAAAACUCGGGGCUUAACCCCGGGCCUGCAGUGGGUACGGGCAGACUAGAGUGCGGUAGGGGAGACUGGAAUUCCUGGUGUAGCGGUGAAAUGCGCAGAUAUCAGGAGGAACACCAAUGGCGAAGGCAGCACUCUGGGACGUGACUGACGCUGAGACGCGAAAGCGUGGGGAGCAAACAGG
rnacentral:rRNA from 1 species